rnacentral:ncRNA from 1 species
CUACGAGGGUUGAAGUCAGCUCUCACUAAACCCCGUGAAUUGCUGGGAAGCCCUUAGAGCCCUGAGCGCCACAACGCAGCCGGCAACGGCAAACGUGACGGCCCAAAAAGUGCAGGGAUUGGGCAAUCAGCAGCCAAGCCUCCCGGUAACGGGUGGAAGGUUCAACGACUAGGUCACACAGUCCUGACGGGACGAUGAAGGCCCACGAGUGCGGGGCACUGCUUGCGAAAUUAAAAACAUGGGUGAUACUGUUUAAAUAAACAGGAGUAGCCCAUGGCAGACAAGAAAUUUUUCAUCACCAAGGAACAGCUGGAAGCGGACUAUCUCGAGCUUCGGUCAACCCUCAAGGUUGCUGAAAAGCACGGCGUCUCGAAGAAGCUGGUCAUGACAUACAUGAAGCGGUUCGGGAUUCCGAAGAUCAAGCGCAGGACGGCGGCAGAAACUGACGAGAUAAUCCGUCCCAUGCUUGAGGCUGGUAUGACGACUAGCGACAUAUCGAGACGGUCCGGCUUCAGCCAGCCUAUUGUGCAUCGUGCGGCUCGACGCUUCGGCCUUCCGCUUAAUGACACGCUGCAUCGGGGCGAGAUCAUCACCCAUAACGGGUACCGGAUGGUCAGGGCUCCCGACGGGCACCCCCACGCUGACAGCAAGGGGUACGUCCGAGAACAUCGGCUGGUGAUGGAACGCAAACUGGGUAGGUACUUAGAGCCGGGUGAAGUUGUUCACCAUAUCAAUGAAGACAAGCUCGACAAUCGCCCAGAGAACCUUGGCUUAAUGGAACUGGGAGAGCACACCAGUUUCCACCAUACGGGCAAGGUUGGUCGUGGCCCCGACAAGCGGCCGCGUAAGCGCAAGCAGUGAAGAUAUAGUCUGGUCUCAUGGGAAACCGUGAG